CCGCUUCGUUCACAUCGCAGUGGAUAUUCACAAACGCGAACACACACACACACACACACAGGCCGAGGGCACUGAAGGAUCCAGCGCACUCGCUUGCACAGUGCUCGCCCCUCUCUUCUGCGUGGCUGUCUUUUGUUUUUCAUACUUUGUCUUUCCGUUUUUUUCGCGAGCGUUUUGGGUUGGAUUUGUGAGGGAGAAGACGCGGGGGAGCGGUGGGGCGCCAUGUUAACCCUUCUCCCCAACCCAAUCUCACUUCCUGUGCGUUCCUGUCUUAUGUCUUUUUGCCGUGUUUCAAACUGGUCACGCUUUUUUUUUGCCUCCCUCGCCAUUACGAGAGCGCUUCUUCCAUGUUAGCGCCCAGCAACGAACAACCCUUUGCGAGUGCGCGCUUCUCUCUCGUCUCGCUCUCGUUCCCCAUAAUCUUUUCCCAUUGCCCGUCGCACACGCACAUAAGCUCAUUCGCGACAUCCACCAUCUGCGCGCAACCACGAGAAAUCAACGAGGGAACAACAACACCAACACAGAGAAGCAAAGAUGCAGACAACUGCUGCCAAUAUGGUUGAGGUGGUGAGGCACUACACGGCGAAUCUCCGUACUUUCUUCACCAUCCCGCCGCUUUCCGAGUCCAUGGCCGGCGUUAUCAUUCUCUUCGUCUUCAUGAACAGCAUGGCCACCUCCAUCUGGAUGUCCAACGCGUGGCCGCCAUUCGUGUACCUUCUCUUCAACAAUAGCAACCUUGCCGUUGGCGUUGUUGCGGGUGUCAACGGCUUCUUCGAGCUGUCCUGCGCUAUUGUCAGCGGCCACAUCGCGGACAAAGUCUGGGGCCCGUCUCACACGCUCAUCUUUGCGGUACGAUUGGGCAUGGUGAAACUCUGCAUUGUCGCCCUGGCAAUCUGGAUGAAGCAUCAUUGGCUGCUCGUUGUCGCGCAAAUGUUUGAGGGCUGCUACAUGGGGCUGAACCUCACGUGUGUGGAGUCCGUGUUUGCGCAGUGCCUGCGCACGGGCGAGCGCGACCGACUCUACAGCUUAAAAUUCAGCGUCGAGUCUGUCGGUUCCAUUGUGGGGCUCAUUUCGUCUCUGUUUCUCUACUUGAUUGUUGGCACAGAAUGGAACGUUCAGGUGCUGCAGAUCGUCAUGACAUGCGGGGUGGCGCUGCACCUGAUGUCCAUGAUCAUCUUCUCGAAGUUGUUUGUGGCACUGCCGUCCCACCUAGACGAAAAGCGGAAGGCUGCCGCGGCGACGGAUAUUGUCCUCAUCGACGACAUCCACUGCGAGGGCGGUGGUGUGCCCAGCGCACCCGUUCGCACGUACAAUGUGGAGGAGCGGCGUGUCACGGACGCGGCGGGCCAUGAAGGAGAGGUAGAUGAGGAGUUGUCGCCGUCGAACCUCGUGCAGAGCGACAAGACGGACACCACGGAUUGCGCUCCCUCAUCUAUCACAUACCCGACGAACAACAGUUGCUCUCCUUCGCUAGUGAGUCACUAUGGGCCCUCAGUGUGUGCCACCCGCAGCACGGAUGCUGCUUUGCUGCGGAACAAGCAGGGUACGACGACUGUGGGGAUGGAACCGUACCAGCAGGCCGCCUCGACUGGCGAGGGAGCGACGAGCGUUGCGGUCGGUCCGGAUAGCGCUGGCAACCCAACGUCGCUCAUCCAUACCCGGCAAGGUGGUCCAAGCUCACUAGUGGACAUCCACAACAUCCCGGCCGGCACGCACAUCGAGUACGUGGACCACGAGUACGAGGAGGCUUCCGCCUGCCGCCGCAGGGUGAUGGACUGCUUUCCAUUGCGUAUCUACCCUAUGGCCAUUGUCGCGUGCGAUGUUGUCCUUUUGUUGGGCAGCGGCAUGAUAACACGAUACUUACCGCUGUUUUUGAUGAAGAACUACAACGUGUCCCUGGCCACGAUUUGCGUGCUGAACCUGUUCAACUCGUUCUUGAUCACGCUUAUGGCCAUCAUCAACGGUUUCAUCGGCAAGCGGUACGGCCGCAUUCGCGCUGCGAUGCCACCCAAGGUGAUCGGUACCUUUUUGCUGCUGUACAUGGCGCUGGCGCAGAAGACGCGGUACGGUUCGAAAUUCUGGAUGUCCCUGGCGUAUGUAUUCCGCAAUGCCUUGAUGAACUGCACGGUUGGACUGUCUCGCGCGCUCAUUAUGGAUUUAGUGCCCGAGCAUCGCCACAGCCGGUGGAACGCGCUAGAGUCGGUGCAGUCUGCGGGUUGGUCGGGCUCGGCUAUCCUCGGUGGCCUCAUGGCGGACAAGUUCGGCUACGGCGCAGCCUUCGUCUUCACGUUCUUCUUCCACUUCUUUUCCACAUCGGCGCUGGUACCUUUCACAGUGCGAAACGACGCACGCUUGCCGCAGCCGGUGCUCGUUUACGACGGUCCUCCUCCACAGACGUCGGCCCACGAACAAAGAACGCGGGGGCUCUCGUCACCGACGCGGAUGCCCUCGCCGCCCCCGCUGACGACUACGACGAAAGUCGCGGUGGCAGAGCUGGCGACUGAAAAUGUGCGCAGAAUAGCUUCGUGCACUUCGGUGAAUCGAGAAGCUGAGUAAGGCAUAUCGGAAGCGAACGUAGAAGAGAAAAAAUGGCGUCUGCUGCGGCAGCCUUGCGCACCAAACAACAGCAUGCCUGCUGGCUUGCGUGCUUCUCUCUUUUUUUUUUUGAAAUCGCUACUCUGUUGCCUGUGGAAUAUAUAUGUAUAUGCAUAUACUCUCUCUGUAUUUCGAAGGCCAUAUAUAUAUAUAUAUAUAUAUAUAUUGAUUUGUAGCGUCCUCCCUCACAGCAACGGAAUGCCGCAGCAACAAGCUGCAUGUGCGGGGAAAGGGGGCAGUAGGCUGAGGUGUGGAAGCCUGUAACGCGGUUUACCAUUUCUUGUAAGUUUUCAGUCGACUCUUUUCCCAGUGCGACGAUUAUGUCGCGCAGAGGAUGAGACGCUUUCGCCGACUGCAGCGACUACACAACGCUUCCGCUUUUCCCCUCCCUUUUCCAACAACAAAAC
rnacentral:misc_RNA from 1 species